ACGCUGCGCACACGCCACGGCGUCGCCACGCCAGAGCACACCGCAGAACCGACUGUGUUGAGUUCCGGCCGGAAACAACAUUCUCAUAUCAGCGGCGGCGGCGCGGGGAGGCACGGCAGCGCAGCGCAGCCCAGCGCAGCACCUGCCCGUCACAGCUGCCGCCGCAUUUCCAUACGGGCGGGGAGAGCGUUACGAACAGGAUCGAGUACGUACCUCCCGGCCUCCUCACCCGCACCGCGGCGCGCGCCACCACCGCUGCUGCUCACCCAACCAUCGGAUGUCUGGCUGGACUCACACGUGGCUGUUCAAGGCCGCAGGAUGGGGCCCUCAGGGGAGGCCCUGCCGGCGAGGAGGGUCCGCUCGGGUGAUCACCCAUCAUCACCUACACCAGGCUCCUCACCAUCGACGCGGCAUGGAAAAGAGAACACGGAGGCGAGAAAGGAGAAUUGGAACCAAAAAAAUACUAAAAGUAUCGGGCCCCUCCGGGAUUUGAACCCGGGACCUCCUGCACCCAAAGCAGGAAUCAUACCCCUAGACCAAGAGGCCUGAUGCUCUGGCCGUCCGCGGUGACUCAAUGGGAUGCCACGGCGAAGAGCCGGCUGCCGAGUGCCGAUGCCCUCUUAGCCAAACCCCGUCGCGUUGCCGCUACCUGAGUCACGACCUGAGCAGGCCUACAGUAAAAAUUAUUUCUGUAAAGUGUAAAUGAUUAACAGACUGAAAUAAAUUUAACCUAAGCCG